UACAGAGGGUGCGAGCGUUGUUCGGAAUUAUUGGGCGUAAAGCGCUUGUAGGCGGCACGUCAAGUCGCGUGUGAAAUCCCCAGGCUUAACCUGGGAAGUGCGCGCGAAACUGACGAGCUUGAGUGCCGGAGAGGGUCGCGGAAUUCCCGGUGUAGAGGUGAAAUUCGUAGAUAUCGGGAGGAACACCAGUGGCGAAGGCGGCGACCUGGACGGACACUGACGCUGAGACGCGAAAGCGUGGGGAGCAAAACAGGAUUGAGAUACCCGUAGU
rnacentral:rRNA from 1 species